rnacentral:rRNA from 1 species
AGUGAACGCUGGCGGUAGGCCUAACACAUGCAAGUCGAACGGCAGCACAGUAAGAGCUUGCUCUUACGGGUGGCGAGUGGCGGACGGGUGAGGAAUACAUCGGAAUCUACUUUUUCGUGGGGGAUAACGUAGGGAAACUUACGCUAAUACCGCAUACGACCUACGGGUGAAAGCAGUGGAUCUUCGGACCUUGCGCGAUUGAAUGAGCCGAUGUCGGAUUAGCUAGUUGGCGGGGUAAAGGCCCACCAAGGCGACGAUCCGUAGCUGGUCUGAGAGGAUGAUCAGCCACACUGGAACUGAGACACGGUCCAGACUCCUACGGGAGGCAGCAGUGGGGAAUAUUGGACAAUGGGCGCAAGCCUGAUCCAGCCAUACCGCGUGGGUGAAGAAGGCCUUCGGGUUGUAAAGCCCUUUUGUUGGGAAAGAAAAGCAGCAGGUUAAUACCCCGCUGUUCUGACGGUACCCAAUGAAUAAGCACCGGCUAACUUCGUG